rnacentral:lncRNA from 10 species
CAGACCCAGACUGUGCAACCCCCAAAGCAGGUCUCCUCACUCACCGGGAUAGAUAGAACUAUCGGCCCCAAUUCCUCAGCCCUACCUGCAACCACCGCUUGCCAUGGUUUCCUUGUGGGUGGAGGGUACUUUCCCGCCCCCUGGUUUCGGGCUUGCCCACGUGGCUUGCUCUGGCCAUGGAAUGAAGCAGAAACGAAAGCCUGCCAGUUCUGAGCCUACGCCGGAAGACGCCUUGGGCGGUUCCGCGGUCCCUGUGCGCUUCCACCUUCACCCAGAAGGACUUCUCUGGUGCAGCCGCUGCUUCUUCAGCCACGGCCCAAAAGGAUCGGAGCCCCCUGGCCGAUCCGCAGGUCUGCAGGGAGCCACAGAGCGCAGCGGCCGGCCCAGCGUUCAAGCCCAAGCACAGGCCUGCGAGAACCUUGUUCCAGCCACCGUUUGGGAUGGUUGAUUAGGACUUGUUGCUGUGGCGGUAGCUCACCAAUCCAAUGCGUGCACCCGCUCCUUUAUUAGGCUAUAGGGCCAGUGGCUGCGACAGGGACCUGAUACAACAGUGCGUUAAAUAAGGAGCUUAUUGAGCUAUCAUGUCGUAAGCCGGUGGAGAAGUCCAGGGCUAGUGUGGGGGCUCCGGCGGGGGCUGUGGCCCCCAUCCGCAUGGAGCCUCCCCACGGUUCACAGGUCUCGGUCUUCGGAGCCUUCAGCCCCGUGAGCCCGAACAGUCCACACGGCGGCGCCAGACCCUCUUCCCAACGCCACCCUCUGAAGCCUCCGCUCCAACCGUCU